UAUUACCCCACCUAUUGGCCCGCCGCGUUGCUCGCCCCCGACCACUGCAAUCCCUACCGCCUGGUGGAAGAGACCCGCCGUGCCUUGGAAAACAGAGGUGGUGAAAUUCAGACUGAAUUUAGGUUUAGAUUUACAAAAUCUGGAGAUUUGGUGUUGAGGAUAAAAAAUAUCGUGCUUGAGAGACUUUAAGAAAUGACCUCUUUGUUAGUGUCUUCCUAACAUUAUUUUUUAUCUGCGGCAACUAAGUCUCCUGGAAAGUGACUCCUGAAUUGUGUUUAACCUUCCUGCCUCGGGAUUUCCAAGGCUUGCGUGCGGUGUUGCCUCCACCAGGCGGAUGGGAUGAUGGGAUCCAAACCCGUUGCUGACUCCACAGAGUGGAAGGAACUGCCUGCACCUCCUUUGUUUCUGCGGUAACGUGCGGGGAGGAGAUUUUAAGCCAUUGCUGCCAUCCGGGGGUGUGAGGACUGACCUGAAGGACAGUCCCUCCAUGAUGGUCACGGUGGAAUCCAUCCUGAUAACCGAUGCUCCUCCCCAUGCUGACUUGGGCAACGAAAGCCACUGCCCCGCCACGGGAGUGAGAGGAACUGACCUGAACAUCGCCUUCCUGCUUGCUGUAGGGAAAGCCUCUGCUGCUGGCCCUGCUGAAAAUAGUCUACCGUCUACGUCAUUGUGCACCAGUACCCAAGACGGCCAGGCAGCUGGGAGCACGAGCCACCACAGUGUGGAAGGAAGUCUGCACCCACGCGGUUAUUCUCCAAAAUGGCGCAUCGAAUCGGUUGUUCCCUGAAUCUCCUGCAAAGCCUUCUCUCUGUGAUGGCCACGGUUGAAUCUAACCUGAUGGCACAGUCGCUGGCGAGUGUUGGAGUCUGACUGCUCUCUGGCCCUGAGCUCGAGACUUUAGAUGAAGCCAGACAACCGAAUAUCUCUCUUGCUCCUCCCGCGGUGCUUGCCUUGCCUUGCCUUGCCUUGCCGAGUGUACAAGGUUGUGCAUAACUAUAGCGACGGAAUGGAUCACGCUAUACACUUGGGGUGCCGAUGAACACUGCUAUUACCCGACAUACUGGCCCGUCUCGUUGCUCGCCCCUGACCACUGCAACCAACACUGCCUUCGAUAGAGCCUUUGCUGCCACCAGGGGUGGGUGGGUGGAGCCUGGCCUGGACCUCCCCUUCAUGCUGUUCCUGCUGGAGAAAGUCUACCUCCCCUUAAUGAUCCUGCUGGAGAAAGUCUACCUUCCCUUCCUGGUGAAUUCAGUUUGAACCUGCGUAUUCUAGGGCCCGGCAGUGACCGUCUUUAGAUUCAGUGACAUGCCCGAGUUCAGUUUGAACUUUAUCCCCUGCGUUUUCUAAGGCCCGGCGGUGACUGUCUUUAGAUUCAGUGACAUGCCCGAAUUCAGUUUGAACUUUAUCCCCUGCGUUUUCUAAGGCCCGGCGGUGACCGUCUUUAGAUUCAGUGACAUGCCCGAGUUCAGUUUGAACUUUAUCCCCUGCGUUUUCUAAGGCCCGGCGGUGACAGUCUUUAGAUUCAGUGACAUGCCCGAGUUCAGUUUGAACUUCAUCCCCUGCGUUUUCUAAGGCCCGGCGGUGACGUCUUUAGAUUCGGUGACAUGCCCGAGUUAAGUUUGAACUUCAUCCCCUGCGUUUUCUAAGGCCCGGCGGUGACAGUCUUUAGAUUCAGUGACAUGCCCGAGUUCAGUUUGAACUUCAUCCCCUUCGUCUUCAAAGGCCCGGCGGUGACAGUCUUUAGAUUAAGAGACUUGCCUGAAAUCUUUUUGAAAAGUAUCCCCUACGUUGGAUAAUAGCGGUGCUCUUCCGAAAACCCUUUGCCCUCAAUAAGUAUGUCAUGAGCUAGCCAGUAGAAAUUCGGUGAAAACCCUUUGACGCGGCGGGCCAAUAGGUGGGAUAAUAGCAGUUCUCGUCCGCAAACCCUUUGACCUCAUUAAGUAUGUCUUAUAAGAGCCAGUAGAAAUCCAGGUAAGUCGAGGUGUCGCCGAUAUCCCCCAUACCUUGCCUGUCCAGGUACACUUGCGUGACGGUGGGUCCAAGAGUAUGAGGGAGGCCACACUCAUCGUGUACCUGUAUCUCUCCCACCGCCGAGAUCUGAAGACCCUGGUGACGAGGACAACCUUCAUCUCAACUAAGCGAGACAGCCAGUUAGGCGCAAGAUCUUGGUGUAUGCUGUGUGUCCAGGGUUAGCUGGAACUCGGAAGGACUCCGACCAGCCUACACCAUUUUGAAUCCGGAUAACGUGGGCGAUCAAGUCAUCCGUAAGUAUGAUGAAGAGUAUCUCUUCAUAAGAAACGUCUUCCAAGUUGGUGUUCUCGCCAUUGAUGUUGAGAACGAACGACACAACACUCGAGAAAUCGAGUGGUAUCUGGACAGUGUCGGGGUUAUGACUGCCUUUUUUUGUGUGCGUGCGCGUGUGUGCGUGUGUGUACACAAGAUUUAUCCCCUAGUAUCAAAAGGGGAACGGGCCCUUGUCCGAAGACGGCCCGGGGAAACUAGCUCUGUACUUCUUCAAUGUGGGAUUUUCAGGCUUUUGGAGUUUCAACUUUGGCUGUUGUAAUUAUUUCAACUUGGCCUGUAGUAAUUAUUUUUACUUAGCCUGUAGUAUUGAAUUUUCAACUUCAGCUUUUGGAAUUAUUUAUAGUAGUACAUAAAUGCAAUCUAAAUACCGAAGUUAUUGUCCAUAAAUUAUCUAAAAAUGAUGCAAAAAAAAUACAUUCAACUAUUUUUUCCUGUGAGUAUCCAAUAGUAUUUUUAUCACAAGUAGCCAAUAAUACAGACAAAAAAAUUACCCCACUCACAAGUCUGCGAUGUGUUUGUUCUACAUCAUUAAAAUUCUUGCUUAUGGACGGACAUUUGAAAUAUAAGUCUAGGCAAGAGGUGUAUUGCUAGCCAUACUGCAGUGACACUUUUGACCUUCACAAAUAGGUCGUUCCAAUAUAUGCAAUUUGUGUCCGUCGUGUAUGAUUUAAGUAACUGUUCCUUGGGAUAACGCGAGUGUGUAAUGUGAAGUGUAGCUGAACAGGGCUGCCGCUGCUGCCCAGAACCCCCAACCUUCAAGGAGCAGCACACCAGCCGUCACUCCAGCCUAGAUCCACUUCCGGCUCAUCUCGGUUGUGUUCACAGGCGGCCUCAAGUGAUAGUGUCAUGGACCACUUCACUAAGU